rnacentral:rRNA from 1 species
UGCGCAGGCGGUUAUGUAAGACAGGUGUGAAAUCCCAGGGCUUAACCUUGGAAUUGCACUUGUGACUGCAUGACUAGAGUGUGUCAGAGGGGGGUAGAAUUCCACGUGUAGCAGUGAAAUGCGUAGAUAUGUGGAGGAAUACCGAUGGCGAAGGCAGCCCCCUGGGAUAACACUGACGCUCAGGCACGAAAGCGUGGGGAGCAAACA